UCUAUAAUUUUUAUUUGCAGCGUUUCAACUUUUAUAAUGUCUAAGUGGAUCAUCGUGGCGUUACUAUUAACCACACUCCUUGUCUCAGUUACGACUCAGGAACCCGACGAAGGUGCUGAUGAUGAAGAAGGUGUUGGAAAAGGUUUCUGUCUAGGUCUUGGACAAGUAUGUCGAUGCUGUUUUGGUCUUACCUGUAGAGGAAGAUGUAGAAGAUGGAUAGGAUGAAGCCUAAAACCAACAUGAAUGUCUCCAGCUAGAUGCAAACAAUUCAUUAUAAUCCUUGAGCUACUAAAAUAUUAAGAAAACUCAAAAUAAUGGAGACAUGUAACUUUUUACGUUUUAUUCUUUGUUUUUUAAAUCAAAAAUAUGUCCUAUUUUUGAUUAAAAUAGUUUCAUUGAUAACAGCAAAA